GGAAGGAACUGGAGGGUAGGAGCUGAGGGAGUCCCAGCUAAAAACUCACGGAGAAUGGAGGAGAACGUUGUUUUUCCUUCCCACACAUGUCUCACACUCACGGCAGAAAGCAAGGAAGAAGGGAAGGGAAAAAUAACACUGGAGUAAGUGCUGUUGGAGAACCUUGUUCACAAGUUUCAAGAAGCCUGUCAGGCCCUGGAAUUAACCUGUUCCCAAAAGAGAUUGGUUGAACUAUGUCCCCAGAUAAACCCUCAGAUUCCCGAAUCUCCAUAUAUCACAUCCUCAACCGGUAGUGGUGUUUGAUCAUCUUCUCCAGAUAUACAAAAGAAUCACAGGAGAUCUGGCAAGAAGCUGCAACAUUUCCUACUAUGUCUGGUUUUCUUCUUGGUGUUGAUGAUGAGGCU
rnacentral:lncRNA from 1 species